rnacentral:rRNA from 1 species
AUGCCGCAGCGCCCCGCGCCUAUACCCGACGAAAAGGCCCACGUCGCCCUAUCUCGUCGGGGGGAGAUUAAGCCCUGCCGCAGCCGACGCCGGUCGGGCUUCGCCUGGCCGUGCCCCCUGGCGGCGGCGAGGGAGGAGGGGAAACUUGCGAUGGGGAUCUAUAAGCCCUCCUCGGCCGCCCCGCGGGUGGCGGCAGUCAGGUUCUGUCACUCCGAGCUUGGGCGAAAGGCCACUAUGUAUGUAUCGUCUUCCAUGUUGUUCUACUGCUUGGUCCAGUUUCUUCAACUCUCUAAACUGGUGGUGAUGCCGAUGUUGCUUCAGCGAUUUAUGAAUCUCUUCUCAAGGUGUCGGUGGUUAUUGCGGUCUUUAAAUCCUGUUGAUCUAAGAUGUCCUUUGACGAGAUUCUGGGAGUCAUCUUGGGUGGAGGGGAUGAGGCCCAAAGACAUUGCACCAAAAAAAUUCGAGAUCUCGUGGAAAAAGGGGACCACGGUGGACAAGGCUUUGAGGGAUAAUGCUUGGGUUAAUCACAUCGAUACCCAGCAUGGGAUGACGCUUGCUCACAUUCAACAAUUUGCCACUCUAUGGGAAAAGCUAGCCAAUGUCAACAUACAACCUGGAGUUCGUGAUUCUAUCAUCUGGAAGCUCACUAAUGACGGGACUUACACUGCAUCGUCGGCUUACAAGACCCAAUUCGCUAGACAUCUACGCUCACCCUUGCAGGAUAUGGUUCGGAAGGUUUGGUCACCCUCCAAAUGCAAUUUUUUUGCUUGGUUGGUCACUCAAAACAGGAUUUGGACAGCGGAUAGACUUCAGCGUAGAGGAUGGCCCAAUUGCGAUCAAUACCCUCUUUGUAGCCAAGUGCAGGAAUCGGCGGCCCACCUCCUUUUCAAGUGCCGGUUCGCAACUCGCAUAUGGAAGGAGGUGUUCUCAUGGCUGGAUCUUCAAGUUGACACAAAGAAUUGGCAUAUUUUCACCACGGUUAAAGCUUGGUGA